rnacentral:lncRNA from 1 species
AAAAUUUGUCAUAAUGGUGGUCCAUGGCUUGUAGUAAAUAGUGAAAUUAUUAAAGUCGCAGAAUCGUUGCAUUUGAAUUGUCCCAAUUCCUUUCAAUCUACCGAAAUCCAGAAUAACGAAAUGCACCAUAACAAAGAAAAUGAAAACGAUAGUAAGUUGAAUUUGUCCGUUCCAUAUUGCUCGUAUUGUCGUGUGAAGUGCAAACCAACAAUGUGCGAAAAGUGCUUUACCACUGCGUAUUGCAGCGAAUCUUGCCAAAAGCAACAUUAUUCGAAGCAUAAGG